CUUCAGCACAACCUUCUUGGGGAAAUUCCCCGGUCGCAAGGGCAGAGAGUGUCCGCCUGGAAACGGGUACCCACAUGCAAGCCGCACUUGCGACGAUGGCUUUGGCAAGAGCAUUUUGUGCAGGCUUCAUGUGGCGGUCACAGCAAAGUUAUGCUUGAUUACUCAACGGGGAUUAU
rnacentral:RNase_MRP_RNA from 1 species